UCCAGGUCACCCUGAUGAACGCGUUUGUGUUAUUCAUACCUUUGCGAUCGGCAGAUACGAUGACGAUCCAGAUACGUAACAGAGGCGUUGUGAUUACUGUCUUUAUUCUUAUUGUCUUUAAGCUCAUUAAAUCUUACGCCCACUACGAUAUUUUCAGAUACUGUCGUUCAUUCAGUGAUUCCGGUAUAAAUAGGUUCGUACCUCAUCUGCGAAUCGCGAUCUCGAAACCUCUCUGCUAUUCAUCUCUCUCUCUCUCUCAUAUUCAUCUCUUAAUACUCAUCUCUCUUGAGGCUAACUGGCUAUUGGAAGAGAUUUUUUUGUGUUUAAAUAGGAAUCUGGUGCUGGAGACGGUGUUUGUGUAUAGGAAUAGUAAUGAGGUUGAGUGCACUGGGCUGGGGAAGAAGAUGAUGAGGAGAAAGAUUAAAGCUUGGAAGAAAAAGGAAGUGAUUUAGAAAGGUGUGUGAAAGUUUCGAAUGAGGUGAGAUUGGAGAAGUCAUUGGUGUCGUUUGAGAAACCUAAGUUUGACAGUACAUCUAAAGUAAAUGGUCCAGAGAAGAUGUUGGAACUCUGUUGAAAUCAAAGCAAUGGCUAGACGUGAACGUGAGAUAGAAGUUGGUUGAACAUGAGUUUUGUGAAGCGAUUUCUGAACAGACCAGAAGUAUCUACAUCUCGGAUAUUAUGCAUAUGGAAAUAUCAAGCUGCAAGGAAUCCAUAGAAAGAUACCGUGUUCGAAUCAGAGUGUGUAUGUAGGCUACUUUGGAGGUGGUUUCUGGCCAGAUAUAAGGAAAUUGGAUCAAGACAAAGUUAUAUAUGGAAAGAUUUCAUUGCAGAGAGUUCGUUGGAUCAACCGAAUUAUGAAUAGAAGUUAUAAACAAUUAGUAUUUCACCUUCAAAGUUGGGCCACAUUCAACUGAAUCUGCAGAAAUAGAUAAAACUGUUCUGCAACAGCAUUUUUAGGAGAUUGUUUGACAAGUGUGGCAGAUAACUGAUGAAGUUGUUUUUGUGGGCUUCAAUGGGGAAGAUGACAAAAUCAACUAACAUUAGAGCUGCCGAGGCUGGGCAUCUUCUGGUGAGACUGAACUCUGAACUGAUAGGAUGAAGGUUUUGAGAACCAUGUAGACAUCCAGCUCCCUUUGUUCAUUGCCGCUCAUGUGGGGAAGACUUAAAUUUUCCAGUUGAGGUUGUCCCAUUUUACCGUAAAUAAGGACUACUGAUAAUCAUCGGUAAAUUUUCAUCCUCCGCAGUUUCAGUGUUUUCAUAUUUUGGUUAACUUUAUUUUGCUACCGUUUUGGUUAGCUUUAUCUGGCUACCGUUUUGGCAAAUUUUUAGAGAUUUUCUAUAAAAAAAAUUCAAAUUCAAAUUGUUA